rnacentral:rRNA from 1 species
AGGACGAACGCUGGCGGCGUGCUUAACACAUGCAAGUCGAGCGGAAAGGCCCUUCGGGGUACUCGAGCGGCGAACGGGUGAGUAACACGUGAGUAAUCUGCCCUUAGCUCUGGGAUAGCUCCGGGAAACCGGGAUUAAUACCGGAUAUGACCACUUUAGACAUCUGCUGUGGUGGAAAGAAUUUCGGCUAGGGAUGAGCUCGCGGCCUAUCAGCUUGUUGGUGGGGUAACGGCCUACCAAGGCGACGACGGGUA